rnacentral:rRNA from 1 species
GACGAACGCUGGCGGCGUGCUUAACACAUGCAAGUCGAACGGAAAGGCCCUGCUUUUGUGGGGUGCUCGAGUGGCGAACGGGUGAGUAACACGUGAGUAACCUGCCCUUGACUUUGGGAUAACUUCAGGAAACUGGGGCUAAUACCGGAUAGGAGCUCCUGCUGCAUGGUGGGGGUUGGAAAGUUUCGGCGGUUGGGGAUGGUCUCGCGGCUUAUCAGCUUGUUGGUGGGGUAGUGGCUUACCAAGGCUUUGAAGGGUAGCCGGCCUGAGAGGGUGACCGGCCACAUUGGGACUGAGAUACGGCCCAGACUCCUACGGGAGGCAGCAGUGGGGAAUAUUGCACAAUGGGCGGAAGCCUGAUGCAGCAACGCCGCGUGCGGGAUGACGGCCUUCGGGUUGUAAACCGCUUUCGCCUGUGACGAAGCGUGAGUGGCGGUAAUGGGUAAAGAAGCACCGGCUAACUACGUG